GAUGAACGCUGGCGGCGUGCCUAAUACAUGCAAGUCGAGCGAACGGACGAGAAGCUUGCUUCUCUGAUGUUAGCGGCGGACGGGUGAGUAACACGUGGAUAACCUACCUAUAAGACUGGGAUAACUUCGGGAAACCGGAGCUAAUACCGGAUAAUAUUUUGAACCGCAUGGUUCAAAAGUGAAAGACGGUCUUGCUGUCACUUAUAGAUGGAUCCGCGCUGCAUUAGCUAGUUGGUAAGGUAACGGCUUACCAAGGCAACGAUGCAUAGCCGACCUGAGAGGGUGAUCGGCCACACUGGAACUGAGACACGGUCCAGACUCCUACGGGAGGCAGCAGUAGGGAAUCUUCCGCAAUGGGCGAAAGCCUGACGGAGCAACGCCGCGUGAGUGAUGAAGGUCUUCGGAUCGUAAAACUCUGUUAUUAGGGAAGAACAUAUGUGUAAGUAACUGUGCACAUCUUGACGGUACCUAAUCAGAAAGCCACGGCUAACUACGUGCCAGCAGCCGCGGUAAUACGUAGGUGGCAAGCGUUAUCCGGAAUUAUUGGGCGUAAAGCGCGCGUAGGCGGUUUUUUAAGUCUGAUGUGAAAGCCCACGGCUCAACCGUGGAGGGUCAUUGGAAACUGGAAAACUUGAGUGCAGAAGAGGAAAGUGGAAUUCCAUGUGUAGCGGUGAAAUGCGCAGAGAUAUGGAGGAACACCAGUGGCGAAGGCGACUUUCUGGUCUGUAACUGACGCUGAUGUGCGAAAGCGUGGGGAUCAAACAGGAUUAGAUACCCUGGUAGUCCACGCCGUAAACGAUGAGUGCUAAGUGUUAGGGGGUUUCCGCCCCUUAGUGCUGCAGCUAACGCAUUAAGCACUCCGCCUGGGGGGUACGACCGCAAGGUUGAAACUCAAAGGAAUUGACGGGGACCCGCACAAGCGGUGGAGCAUGUGGUUUAAUUCGAAGCAACGCGAAGAACCUUACCAAAUCUUGACAUCCUUUGACAACUCUAGAGAUAGAGCCUUCCCCUUCGGGGGACAAAGUGACAGGUGGUGCAUGGUUGUCGUCAGCUCGUGUCGUGAGAUGUUGGGUUAAGUCCCGCAACGAGCGCAACCCUUAAGCUUAGUUGCCAUCAUUAAGUUGGGCACUCUAAGUUGACUGCCGGUGACAAACCGGAGGAAGGUGGGGAUGACGUCAAAUCAUCAUGCCCCUUAUGAUUUGGGCUACACACGUGCUACAAUGGACAAUACAAAGGGCAGCGAAACCGCGAGGUCAAGCAAAUCCCAUAAAGUUGUUCUCAGUUCGGAUUGUAGUCUGCAACUCGACUACAUGAAGCUGGAAUCGCUAGUAAUCGUAGAUCAGCAUGCUACGGUGAAUACGUUCCCGGGUCU
rnacentral:rRNA from 1 species